GACGAACGCUGGCGGCGUGCCUAAUACAUGCAAGUCGAACGCUUCUUUCCUCCCGAGUGCUUGCACUCAAUUGGAAAGAGGAGUGGCGGACGGGUGAGUAACACGUGGGUAACCUACCCAUCAGAGGGGGAUAACACUUGGAAACAGGUGCUAAUACCGCAUAACAGUUUAUGCCGCAUGGCAUAAGAGUGAAGGGCGCUUUCGGGUGUCGUUGAUGGAUGGACCCGCGGUGCAUUAGCUAGUUGGUGAGGUAACGGCUCACCAAGGCCACGAUGCAUAGCCGACCUGAGAGGGUGAUCGGCCACACUGGGACUGAGACACGGCCCAGACUCCUACGGGAGGCAGCAGUAGGGAAUCUUCGGCAAUGGACGAAAGUCUGACCGAGCAACGCCGCGUGAGUGAAGAAGGUUUUCGGAUCGUAAAACUCUGUUGUUAGAGAAGAACAAGGACGUUAGUAACUGAACGUCCCCUGACGGUAUCUAACCAGAAAGCCACGGCUAACUACGUG
rnacentral:rRNA from 1 species